UUAAAUUGAAGAGUUUGAUCAUGGCUCAGAUUGAACGCUGGCGGCAGGCCUAACACAUGCAAGUCGAACGGUAACAGGAAGCAGCUUGCUGCUUUGCUGACGAGUGGCGGACGGGUGAGUAAUGUCUGGGAAACUGCCUGAUGGAGGGGGAUMACUACUGGAAACGGUAGCUAAUACCGCAUAACGUCGCAAGACCAAAGAGGGGGACCUUAGGGCCUCUUGCCAUCGGAUGUGCCCAGAUGGGAUUAGCUAGUAG
rnacentral:rRNA from 1 species